UACAGAGGUCUCAAGCGUUGUUCGGAUUCAUUGGGCGUAAAGGGCGCGUAAGCGGCGGGGUAAGUCUGGUGUGAAAUCUCGGAGCUCAACUCCGAAAUUGCACUGGAUACUGCUCUGCUAGAGGGCUGGAGAGGAGAUCGGAAUUCACGGUGUAGCAGUGAAAUGCGUAGAUAUCGUGAGGAAGACCAGUGGCGAAGGCGGAUCUCUGGACAGCUCCUGACGCUGAGGCGCGAAGGCUAGGGGAGCAAACGGG
rnacentral:rRNA from 1 species